ensembl:lncRNA MIAT myocardial infarction associated transcript
AGCCCCAAAGCCCAUACCUUCCUUUGUACCCUCUAAGACGGUGUCAGCUAAAGGUCCCUUGAAACCUCCAUCACCUUAUUAAUAUCAUGACUCUAGGUCCACAGAACGAGGGGAAAGGGUCACUGUGGAUCAAGCCAGGCUCCUCUGAGCAGUCCAGGGUCUAUUUACAGAGAGCAGCAAGUUCCUGGGACAGAGGAGACAGAAGGGAAUUUCCAGGUUCUUCAGGACGUUCACAACCACACUGAGAAGCAUCUUUGCAGAUAAGUAUUUAAACUUACCAGCCCAUAGCCUACCAGCCUGCCCUCUUCUGGUCUGUGCAGGAAAGUGUAGUAUCCUAGAAUGCCAAAGUGGGAGGGGAAAUGGGUGAUGUAGCUCAUUCUCUUUUCUACCUCUAUGGAAGAAAGAAAGAGCCUGUCCCCAUUUUGUGGGGUCCCAGAAAGGGUGAUUUUCACACUUCACAUUUGGCGUUAGGGCUAGUAUUUCACAAACAUUACCGUCUGGAACUUUUGAAGGCUGAGUUAAAUGACUUCAUCUUGUGUACUUGUAGAACUGCUAUUAGAAGGAGGCUGGGGACUCCCUGAUGAUGUGAACCAGCCCUUCUCUUCUCAGUUUCAGCACUUUGUGAUCAUAUUUAUAAACCUUGGACAGGGCUCCUUGGCCUUAGAGUUAAGUGAAGAGUUAACACUGUGACUUUAGAUGCAUUUUUCUCAGUGUAAGUGUCUGAGCUCAUCUCCAGUUCUGGACUCGUGCCCCCACUCCCGGGUGCUGACAGCAAGCUCUGAAGAUAUGCUGAGAGAGCUCCCUGACUCUCCUGACUCAGGUCUGCCAGUUGAUGAAGACAGCACAGUUGUUACCAAAAACAAAACCUGGCAGAUGGUCCUAGGUCAGGAUUAGUGGUCAUUCUCUGGUCUUCUCCAGACUGGUGACACAGGGUGGUCUUAAAAGAGUCCUAGUCCAGCCUCUGGCUCCCCGAAUUUCCUCUGGUGCAUGGGGCAUCAGGAAAGGGCAGGGGAGAAGGAGGGGGAGCAGAAAAAUAACUGAGGCUGGGCAGAAGGGUCCCUUCCAUUUCCCAUCCAUUGCUUCAAACAAUGGGUGAUUACCGUGCACCUUGAGUGAAUGUCAAGGCAGGAAGGGUUCCAGGGCCACCCAGUGUGGCAGGAGCAGAGCUGGGAUCAGAAUUCUGGAUUCCUGACUCUCCGUUCAGCUGCUAUUCAGCUAUCACCAAGCUGCUGAGUUUGUCCUACUUUCUCCUGGGUCACAUUCUGCUGUUGUUGGGAAACAGGGAGUGAGUGAAGGGAACCUGGGAACCCUUCUCCCCUCACCUUUUAAGGAUGUUCUGGGGUGGAAUAAAGAGAGGUGGAGGGUGGGGUGCCUGGGCCCAGCCUCCCUGGCUCCUGGUCCUUCUUUCUUCAGCAGGGAGUUCUGGCAAGGCCUGGGCCUGGGGAGGGGGCCUGGGUGCAGUUUUCUCCUGCGGUGUGGUUGGCUCUUUUGUCUUCCAGGAUGGGCCUGUGGGGUCUGUGUGGGGAAGGAAGGAGCUGGGAGCCUGGGCUGCCUGUGUGUCGGCUGGAUGCUGCCAGGUGGCUCCAUCUGGGCCGCAUCUCCAGGACUCCUGGCCUGGACUUCUCUUUGGACCUCGGGUGACCUUGGAUUCUGGCCACAGUGACUUAGCGGUCAGACUCCGGUGGUUUUCUAGCCCGCUGGGUGACUCCCUGAAGAUCUCAUCCUCUUCACACCUGUUGGGAUGGAGCCUCCCAUGGAUAGGAACUCUUCCUGGUUGAUGCUCAGCAGAUGACUGAUCUGGCUCUGGAGGACAGCUCCAGGGGUAUGAGGGAGGCCUGGCAGCCCACUACUCCCUCCUCACCUGCUCGGGCCCUGCCUGCUGGGCCCUAUUGUCUGGGUCUGGGGGCCCUUUCCUGCCCCAUGUGAACUUGAUUCCUCCUCGCGUUUCUGCCGGUGACCAGACAGAGCCUGGCCUGGGCCAAGUCCCCACUGACCACACUUUCCCCAAGGCUGGGUCUCAAAGGACCCUACAGGAUGGGGACAGGAACAAGGAUGGGAGUCGGGGAGGGGCUGUCAGGCAGAGGGCAGAUGCAGCUCCUCGGGUGCCGCUGGCUGGAGUCCUUUGUCUCCAUUUGCUCAGUGCGUAAUUGUCAUUUUGUGGGGGACUUCCUUGGUGGGGCUUUUCCAUGCUUUUCCUCUCCCUGAUGGUUACAAAGAGGAGACAGUCAGGAUCUGGGAGGAGCUGGAGCCUUCCCCCUGUGCUGUUGAACUCUGGGAGGGGCAGCCAGAGGGGCUGAGAGUGCACCAUCCUGAAAAGAGAGGGUCUUUAAGAGAUAAGAUUUAGGCUAGGGAAAUUCACUAGAAAGAGACAGGUGGCCCUGGGUUUUUUUUCCUGCCAUCCAAAGGGAACCAGUCUUACCCAAAGGCUUAAGGGGUCACCUUAGCCCAGUCUCAGGACACUCUUCUCCAAUCAGAUCGCUGCUUCUAGUUGCACUGCUCCUGGAUUCUGUUCUUGGGGAACAGAAGGUGGCAGGACAGGCCCCACAAUCUGCAAUUCCAGCUCCCUCCAGAGGAGACAGUCCCAGCGUUUGCAAGAGAGCAGCUUGUGGCCUCCCUUAGGCAAGUUUAAAAGCCAGAUGUCCUUUUUCCCAGAAUGCGGAGUGGUGUGUACUAUUCAUCAGCUUGGGCUGCCACAGCACCAUGCCAGACUGGAUGGCUUAAACAUCAGGAAUUUAUUUUCUGCCAGUUCUGGAGGCUGGAAAGUCCAGAUCAAGGUGUUAAGACUUGGUUUCUGGUGAGGCCUCUCUCCUUGGCUUGCAGGUGGCACCUUCUCACUAUGUCCUCACAUGGCCUUUUCUCUGUGGAGAGGGACAGAGAGCAUGAGCAGGCUCUGGUGUCUCCUCCUCUUCUUAUAAAGACACUAAUAUCACCAUAUUAGGGCUUAAACCUAUGACCUCAUUUAACCUUAACCCCUUAAAGGUCCCAUCUCCAAAAACAGUCACAUAGCAGGCUACUGCUUCAACAUAUGCAUUUGGGGGAGGGGACACCAUUCAGUUCUUAACAGGGUGGUCACCGCAAACAUGGAAAGUCAGAGCCUUCUCCCCUUCAGAAUUCCCGCCCCCACCCAGGGAUGGGGAGGAGGAGCAGAGAGGUAUGGGAAGCAGACACGGAGAGUGGCAGGUACCAUGCUGGGGUGGCUCAGGAGUGCUUCGGAGGACAUAUGGAACUGGCAGGGCUCAGUGCAGGGAGGCGGAGGCCCUGGGAGAGCCGUGUCCUGAGAAGGGCCUGGGCUACAACCCUGGGCAAGUUACUUCACCUCUGAGCCUCCGAUGCUCUGUGAAAUGGAAGGAAUGUGCUUGCCUGUCAGGUGCAGGGAGAAUUCAGUGAGAUUGUGUGCCUAGCACAGUGCCUGACUCCCAGUAGGUGCUCAGCAAAUGCUCCCAUCCAUCUGGGAGUAUAGACUUAGGGUUUAUCUAUUUUUUUUUUUUUUUGGCUCUCUGGACUUUAAAACUCAGCAUCUUCUGAACCAGAGGCAUUUCUGAUUAGCCCUUCCCUACCUAUUUUCCUAGUAUCACUCUUUAAUCAGCUUGGGGAGGUGGCAGCAUUUCAUGGCCUCCGUAGUAACUCACAAUGCUUCCUGGGGUAUUUAAAUUCUACUCUCUCAUCAGCACUGAGCACCUACUUUGGGCCCUUUCCCGUGCUAGCCAUUUGGGGGAAAUAUAGGUGAAGAGUGGCUGGGGUUUGAACCUUUAGGAUUUCACAGCCAUGCUGGAUGGGAUAAAACCAGCUCACAUGGAGAAUCAGAGAAUGGGACAGUGCCACAAAACAGUCUACUGAGGCACAAGUUCUGAGUGCCUGGGAAGUGGUAGAGAGACCCCAGAGAGGGCUGCUGCAGUCUGGAACAGCUUCCUAGCAAGCUGUACCAAACAGGGCCUUGAAGGAUGAGAAAGAUCUGGCUGAGAUGAUACCCGACCCUCUAGGGAAAUUCUUAAAGUAACUUCUAGGAAAUGUCAUUGCUC